rnacentral:rRNA from 1 species
UACAGAGGUCCCAAGCGUUGUUCGGAUUCACUGGGCGUAAAGGGUGCGUAGGUGGUUGUGCAAGUCUGAUGUGAAAUCUCCGGGCUUAACCCGGAAAUGGCAUUGGAAACUGCAUGGCUAGAGGGUUGGAGGGGGGACUGGAAUACUUGGUGUAGCAGUGAAAUGCGUAGAUAUCAAGUGGAACACCAGUGGCGAAGGCGAGUCCCUGGACAACACCUGACACUGAGGCACGAAAGCUAGGGGAGCAAACAGG